CUGGGUUAUUAGCCUUCCUGUUAUAUGAUACCUUAUGGGGAAGACCUAAUUGAUGUAAAUCAAACACAGCUUGCAGGAAAAAAAAUAUCAAAAUCAUCCUUCAGGUAUUUGGUGAAUGUUCAGGCAUCUCAGGGUUUCAGUAUUUAACACUACUUUUCCAACAAGAGGUUACACGUGGCUAAUAACACAAAUAAAUCCUUUCUUAUUCGUAAAUUAGCAGGCUCAAAGAAGUGGAAAUUGAAGGAGAGCAUUGGCAUUUUGCUUUGCUGAAUAAGCUUUGGACAGAAAUUAGACUGAAAAGUAUUGAGUGGGAGGGGUUUAGCUGUACAGUUCAAUAACCUUGCCAACAUAUUUUUAUUAAGGCAUUCUUACAUAAGCCAUUAAGCUUUAGGUUAAUUUUUACAGAUUUUUUUUUUUUUCUGGGCAGACUUCACGGUUAGGACUAAAAUGAAGCCUCCGGAAGAUUUUCCUCUGGAUCUCGGUGGGUGUCACGGGGCAGCAGCGCCCGAGCGGGAUGGCGUGGCUGUCCGGCCAUCCGAGAGUUCCUUCAUUCCACGUAAACAUUAGCAAGAAGAGCUCGCUGUUUGCUCAUUUUGCUCCUGGACAUUAGCUCUGUCACCGGAGAUUCUGAUGUGCAGCCAUAUUAUUUUUAUCGUGAAAGAAAGAAAAAUAUGGCUUGCUUCUCUUUUUUUCCUUAAGGUCCUGUUCAUUCAUUAUGGUCCCUGCCUGUCUCAGAGAGAAAUUGCACCAUGCCUGGAAAGGUGUAGAAGAGUUCUUGGCGGCUGGCACUAUGGCACAGAGGGUUAAAGUCCUGGCUGUUCCUCUUCCGAUCCAGCUCUCUGCUAUGGCCUGGGAAAUCAGUAGAAGAUGGCUCAAGUCUUUGGGGCCCUGCACCCAUGCGGGAGAUCCGGAAGAAGCUCCUGGCUCCUGGCUUCUGGCUUCGGAUAGGCUGAGCUCUGGCCAUUGCAGCCAUCCGGGGAGUGAACCAGCGGAUGGAAGAGCUCUCUCUCUGUCUCUACCUCUUUCUGUAACUCUGUCUCUCAAAUAAAUAAAAUAAAUCUUUAAAAAAAAGGGACUAGAAGAGUUCU
rnacentral:lncRNA from 1 species